rnacentral:rRNA from 1 species
UUCUAAUAUAUAAAAGGUCCUGCCUGCCCGGUGACUAAGUUAAACGGCCGCGGUAUCUUGACCGUGCAAAGGUAGCAUAAUCAUUUGCCUUUUAAAUGGGGGCUGGUAUGAAUGGCAAGACGGGAAUCAGACUGUCUCUCUCUUGUAAAUCUUGAAGUUAAUAUCUUCGUGAAGAAGCGGAGAUAAAGUCGUAGGACGAGAAGACCCUAUCGAGCUUUAGUUAGAAUUAAUAUAGAUCAGUGCUGGUAUUUUAUGUGCUAAUAAAAUAAUUUCGUUGACUUGGAAGGUACUAUUAAUAAUACCUGGUUAUAUGUUUUAUACUUAGGUUGGGGCAACCGCGGAGAAUAAGAAUCCUCCGUUAAGUUAAUUAUUAAGCAUUGCGUUUUUAAUGUAAUUAAGUUGUUUAAGAGUGAUCCACUAGAAAGUGAUCAAAAGAAUAAGUUACCGUAGGGAUAACAGCGUAAUUUUUUUGGAGAGUUCAUAUUGAUAAAGAAGUUUGCGACCUCGAUGUUGGAUCAGGAUUUCCUAGAGAUGCAGCAGUUUCUAAGGGUUGGUCUGUUCGAC